AUUCCAUCCCCUCCUCUCACCACUGCCCUCCAGGCCCGUUUGGACAUCCUGAAGAUCCACUCCCGGAAGAUGAACCUGACCCGGGGCAUCAACCUGCGGAAGAUCGCGGAGCUGAUGCCUGGGGCCUCAGGUGCUGAGGUGAAGGGGGUGUGCACAGAGGCCGGGAUGUACGCCCUGAGGGAGAGGAGGGUGCACGUCACUCAGGAGGACUUUGAAAUGGCUGUGGCCAAGGUGAUGCAGAAGGACAGUGAGAAGAACAUGUCCAUCAAGAAGCUGUGGAAGUAAUGGUGAGGCUGGGGCUGCUCCUCAGGCUGUGGUGUCUAAUAAACUGCUGCUAUGGCCA